rnacentral:SRP_RNA from 1 species
UGGCGGGCUAGACUGGGCUGUUGGGCGUAGCCUAUAACCCCAAAUCGCCCUCACGGGGGAGUUGAAUACCUACGGGGCGGGCUCAUAACAUGAUGUGGGGGCCCAUCACGUCUUGCCGACCUCCUGCCCCACUUGGCUCAUUAUUCUAGGAACCGGGUCAGGCCCUGACGGGAGCAGCCCUAACUAAAAUACAUGGGUGCUGGUGGAUUUUGCGGGAGCGAGAGACGCGACGGGAGUAACCCACACGUCAUUUAUGGACUCCACCCGUAGGUGCCCGCCA